CGGACGGGAACGAGUCAAGCGGGGCGCUCCGACGGCAACAAAGGCCAAUGGAGAGGGGCGGGGGCACCGGGGACCGGAGGCAGCGGCCCCUGGCGGUCACCCGUCGCCUUGCAGCCAGCGGGAGGGCUCCGGUAGAGGCGCCGCGGAAUCGCGCAGUGGCGCUGGGUGCUGAGACCACAGAUAUGUAAGAGACCCUGCCUACCCUGGAAGAUGUCACAGUCUUAAGUGCGACUACAGAGCUCUACUUGCCGGAUCUGGGAAGCACCUGCCUCGACUUUCUCAUCUACAGCUCACGCUUGAACUCUGUCAAUCUGCCUCUACUCUCACCACGUCACUUAAACGACUUUUUGUGUUGAAA